rnacentral:rRNA from 1 species
UACGUAGGUGACAAGCGUUGUCCGGAUUUACUGGGCGUAAAGAGCGCGCAGGCGGUCGUUCAAGUCGAGUGUGAAAGCCCCCGGCUCAACUGGGGAGGGUCACUCGAUACUGAUCGACUCGAAGGCAGGAGAGGGUAGUGGAAUUCCCGGUGUAGUGGUGAAAUGCGUAGAUAUUCGGAAGAACACCAGUGGCGAAGGCGACACACUGGCCCAUUACUGACGCUGAGGCUCGAAAGCGUGGGGAGCAAACAGG